UCUUCCACUAAUUUUCCAUUGCAACCCAAGAAAUUCAAGCACAGCAGUAUCCAGCAUGUCCCUAGAAGCUGAAGCAUAGGACACAACCCCCCAGCCAUAGUACUGUCAAUAAAUUUGCCCUCUGUUAAAUGUAGGCAUUACAGCCAUGAGUCAACACCAAAAAAAGAUUUUGAGGUCACCAGAUGAUCAUAGACCUUAGGUACAUCAGUAAUUGGUUAUUAGCUGUCUUGCCCUCUGUUAAAUAGAGGCAUUACAGCCAUGAGUCAACACCAAAUUAAAGAUUUUGAAGUCACCAGAUGAUCAUAGACCUUAGGUACUUCAUCAGUAACUGAGCAUUAGCUGUUUUCCAAGAUAUAACAGCGACCUUUAUAUUUAGACGUUAAGAUAUGCCAAGUUUUUCAAAGAUAUGACAGUG
rnacentral:lncRNA from 1 species